CCUACGGGUGGCAGCAGUGGGGAAUAUUGGGCAAUGGGCGCAAGCCUGACCCAGCAACGCCGCGUGAAGGAAGAAGGCUUUCGGGUUGUAAACUUCUUUUCUCAGGGACGAAGCAAGUGACGGUACCUGAGGAAUAAGCCACGGCUAACUACGUGCCAGCAGCCGCGGUAAUACGUAGGUGGCAAGCGUUAUCCGGAUUUACUGGGUGUAAAGGGGGUGUAGGCGGGGACGUAAGUCAGAUGUGAAAACCACGGGCUCAACCUGGGGACUGCUUUUGAAACUGUGUGUCUUGAGUGCAGGAGAGGCAGACGGAAUGCCUGGUGUAGCGGUGAAAUGCGUAGAUAUUAGGAGGAACACCGGUGGCGAAGGCGGUCUGCUGGACUGCAACUGACGUUGAGGCGCGAAAGCGUGGGGAGCAAACAGGAUUAGAUACCCCGGUAGUC
rnacentral:rRNA from 1 species